rnacentral:rRNA from 1 species
AGCAGCCGCGGUAAUACGUAGGGGGCAAGCGUUGUCCGGAAUCACUGGGCGUAAAGGGCGCGUAGGCGGCCUAAGAAGUCGCAGGUGAAAUCCCACGGCUUAACCGUGGAACUGCCUGCGAAACCAUUGGGCUUGAGAACAGGAGAGGGAAGCGGAAUUCCUGGUGUAGCGGUGAAAUGCGUAGAUAUCAGGAGGAACACCAGUGGCGAAGGCGGCUUCCUGGCCUGGUUCUGACGCUGAGGCGCGAAAGCUGGGGGAGCAAACAGGAUUAGAUACCCUGGUAGUCCCAGCUGUAAACGAUGGGCACUAGGUGUUGGGGGGCUCAUACCCUUCAGUGCCGCAGGUAACCCAAUAAGUGCCCCGCCUGGGGAGUACGGUCGCAAGACUGAAACUCAAAGGAAUUGACGGGGGCCCGCACAAGCGGUGGAGCAUGUGGUUUAAUUCGAUGCAACGCGAAGAACCUUACCAGGGUUUGACAUGCCGGUGGUACGGAGUGGAAACACGAAGGACCCUUCGGGGAGCCGGUACAGGUGGUGCAUGGUUGUCGUCAGCUCGUGCCGUGAGGUGUUGGGUUAAGUCCCGCAACGAGCGCAACCCUUGCUUUCAGUUGCCAGCGGGUUAAGCCGGGCACUCUGGAGGGACUGCCGUCGACAAGGCGGAGGAAGGUGGGGAUGACGUCAAAUCAUCAUGCCCUUUAUACCCUGGGCUACACACGUGCUACAAUGGCCGAUACAGAUGGCAGCUAAUUGGUGACAAGGAGCAAAUCUCAAAAAGCCGGUCCAAGUUCGGAUUGCAGGCUGCAACUCGCCUGCAUGAAGUUGGAAUCGCUAGUAAUCGCAGGUCAGCAUACUGCGGUGAAUGCGUUCCCGGGCCUUGUUCGCACCGCCCGUCACACCAUGGAAGUUGGUUCUACC